UACGUAGGGGGCAAGCGUUGUCCGGAAUCAUUGGGCGUAAAGCGCGUGUAGGCGGCUUGGUAAGUCCGCUCUGAAAGCCAGGGGCUCAACCCCGGGAGGCGGGUGGAUACUGUCAAGCUCGAGUCCGGAAGAGGCGAGUGGAAUUCCUGGUGUAGCGGUGAAAUGCGCAGAUAUCAGGAGGAACACCAAUGGCGAAGGCAGCUCGCUGGGACGUGACUGACGCUGAGACGCGAAAGCGUGGGGAGCAAACAGG
rnacentral:rRNA from 1 species